rnacentral:rRNA from 1 species
GGAUGAACGCUAGCUACAGGCUUAACACAUGCAAGUCGAGGGGAAACGACAUCGAAAGCUUGCUUUUGGUGGGCGUCGACCGGCGCACGGGUGAGUAACGCGUAUCCAACCUGCCCACCACUUGGGGAUAACCUUGCGAAAGUAAGACUAAUACCCAAUGAUAUCCCACGAAGGCAUCGGAAUGGGAUUAAAGAUUUAUCGGUGAUGGAUGGGGAUGCGUCUGAUUAGCUUGUUGGCGGGUAACGGCCCACCAAGGCAACGAUCAGUAGGGGUUCUGAGAGGAAGGUCCCCCCACAUUGGAACUGAGACACGGACCAGACUCCUACGGGAGGCAGCAGUGAGGAAUAUUGGUCAAUGGGCGCAGGCCUGAACCAGCCAAGUCGCGUGAGGGAUGACGGUCCUACGGAUUGUAAACCUCUUUUGUCGGGGAGUAACGUGCGGGACGCGUCCCGUAUUGAGAGUACCCGAAGAAAAAGCAUCGGCUAACUCCGUG